AUUGAAUGAUGGAGGCAGGCCGUACACAUGCAAGUCGAACGGCAGCACGGGUGCUUGCACCUGGUGGCGAGUGGCGAACGGGUGAGUAAUACAUCGGAACAUGUCCUGUAGUGGGGGAUAGCCCGGCGAAAGCCGGAUUAAUACCGCAUACGAUCUACGGAUGAAAGCGGGGGACCUUCGGGCCUCGCGCUAUAGGGUUGGCCGAUGGCUGAUUAGCUAGUUGGUGGGGUAAAGGCCUACCAAGGCGACGAUCAGUAGCUGGUCUGAGAGGACGACCAGCCACACUGGGACUGAGACACGGCCCAGACUCCUACGGGAGGCAGCAGUGGGGAAUUUUGGACAAAGGGCGAAAGCCUGAUCCAGCAAUGCCGCGUGUGUGAAGAAGGCCUUCGGGUUGUAAAGCACUUUUGUCCGGAAAGAAAUCCUUGGCCCCAAUACGGUCGGGGGAUGACGGUACCGGAAGAAUAAGCACCGGCUAACUACGUG
rnacentral:rRNA from 1 species